rnacentral:lncRNA from 1 species
CUUUUGCACUUUGAUUGUUAUUUAUAAUUAGUUUCGUAGAAUAAGAACACAAGUAUUCAAAUAAAAAAUCAAUUCCAUUGGGCUCCAAUUUGAUAUAUCUCCACGGACAUCAUGAUGUGUAUAUACUUAACACCAAGCAAAGUACGAAGUAUCCCAAUUGAUUGUAAAAUUAAAGUUGUCAAUUGAUUAAAAAAUGACAAUCAACACCAAAGUCCACUAUAAAUAAAAAUCUUCAAAUGUGUCAUUAGGAAGUCACAGACGAGAAUCUUGUUUAAACAGCUACAUCUUAUAUUUUCAAUCGAAUAUGAAUUAUGCUUUCUAAUACUGUAGAUUCGUAAUUAUUCGUCGGGUAUCAAUUUUCGUAGUUUUUGUUGCUUCAGGGAAACACGAAUUAAAAUUUUCAAAUAUAUAUAUUUUUUCAAUAUAUGCUGACUUAAGUAAAACAACGGAAUC